AUUGAACGCUGGCGGCAGGCCUAACACAUGCAAGUCGAACGAGUGGCGGACGGGUGAGUAAUGUCUGGGAAACUGCCUGAUGGAGGGGGAUAACUACUGGAAACGGUAGCUAAUACCGCAUACCAUCGGAUGUGCCCAGAUGGGAGUAGCUAGUAGGUGGGGUAAAGGCUCACCUAGGCGACUAUCCCUAGCUGGUCUGAGAGGAUGACCGCACAAUGUAGAACUGAGACACGGUCCAGACGUCUACGGGAGGCAGCAGGGGGGAAUAUUGCACAAUGGGCGCAAGCCUGAUGCAGCCAUGCCGCGUGUAUGAAGAAGGCCUUCGUGUUGUAAAGUACUUUCAGCGGGGAGGCGUUACCCGCAGAAGAAGCACCGGCUAACUCCGUGCCAGCCGCCGGUAAUUC
rnacentral:rRNA from 1 species